rnacentral:SRP_RNA from 1 species
GCCCGGGGUGGUGGCGCGCGCCUGUAAUCCCAGCUACUUAGGAGGCUGAGGCAGGAGAAUCGCUUGAACCCAGGAGGUGGAGGUUGCAGUGAGCCAAGAUCGCACCACUGCACUUCAGCCUGGGUGACAAAGUGAGACUCUGUCUCAA